rnacentral:rRNA from 1 species
GGAGUUCAGCGUGUACGCGAGUCAUUGGGUUGUAAAACCUAAAGGCGUAAUGAAAGUGAAGGAAACUUCUCGUUUCUGAGGGAGGAUGAGUUGGUUACCCGCAAGGGGCCUCUCCGCACUCCCGGGGCGUCUCUUUCUCUUUGAGUAGAGGCGCACCCAGAGCGCACACGCUGAUACCCGAAAGAUGGUGAACUAUGCCUGGCCAGGACGAAGCCAGGGGAAACCCUGGUGGAGGUCCGCAGCGAUUCUGACGUGCAAAUCGAUCGUCGGAGCUGGGUAUAGGGGCGAAAGACCAAUCGAACCAUCUAGUAGCUGGUUCCCUCCGAAGUUUCCCUCAGGAUAGCUUGCGCUCACGUGAACGAGUCUCAUCCGGUAGAGCGAAUGAUUAGAGGCCUUGGGGUCGAAACGACCUCAACCUAUUCUCAAACUCCAAAUAGAUGAGAACUCCGGCUUUCUUGAACUUUGUUUUUGAAGCCGGGGGCUUGGAUCAGAGUGCCAAGUGGGCCAAUUUUG